UUUAUAGUGGCAGACUAUGCAUAGAUUUUAAGCGUCUAUUAUAAGGUAAAUAUAUCUUCUAUUUUC
rnacentral:tRNA from 1 species